CUUUUACAACAUUUCUAUUGGAUUCCACUCUGAAAUUAUACCAGAAAUCCACACAGGACCUCAGAAGAACUGGUGAAGAGGUGAAUUUUGAAGAAAAAGCAACCUCUGACAUAAUUGGAGAAGCUGCGGUUGCAACCUCAGGCUAGCAGCUUGCAAGGACUGUCCUUGGCCAAUGAAUGCUACUUCUGUUUUUGUCACCCUUCCAAUAGGAGGACUGACAGACUUCCUAUCUAGAAGAACAAAAAAUAAAUUGCCA